GCCUACUAUAGGGGGGAAGCUGCCUGCCUGCCCACGCACCUUGGUGGGUCAGGAUGGCGUGCCAUGGGGCUCCCUCCCAGCGCCCCAGCAAGCUUUCCCAAGCAUGCUGGUGCGUUUUUCCAUGGCGAUGUGGGAAAUUCGACCGAGUCAAAAAUAGUCCAUGCCGAAUCCAGGUCGUACGUGGCCCGGUGCUGGCUGGUCCAACGGAAAAUUGUGGGCAUCUCGUAGUGAGCUUAUCCGGCACCAAGGACACAUUUGGCGUGCAGCAAGUUCUUGGCUUGUUCCUCAAGGUCCAAGUCAAAAAUCUUGAUGCCUUCGUCCCUUUGGUCGAGGUGCCGGUCUGGCAUCACAGUGGGUAGUUGCGGUCAUCCCUCGGACGUGCCGAGGCAUCCAGUGUGACCCGUUCCGCACGGAAGGUUGUGGCGCUAGGUGAUGCCUUCACGGGCAUAUCCGUAGCACGAAGAGGGCAAGUUCCCAAUCAUCCGGAAGUGCACUAUGGGCGGUUCAUCAUGGUCGAAGCCAAGGCGCGGCCGUGUUUGACGCGAUCAGCAACGUCUCUCCAGUCGCCUCGUCCCUCGGAAAAGUGUGCUCUGUUGAGGUGCCGGCCUGGCCUCACAGUGCCGAGAUGGGUAGUUGUGCGCAUCCCUCGGACGCGCCGAGGCUUCUAGUGUGACCCGUUCGGCACGGAAGGAUGUGGGUCUACGCGUUCCCUUCAGUGGCAUAUCCGUAGCACUGAGGGGCAAGUUCCCAAACAUCCGGAAGUGCACUCUGGGCGGUUCAACGCGGUCGAAGCCAAGGCAAGGCCAUGGUUGAAGCAAUCAGCAACGUCUCUCCAGUCGCCUCGUCCCUCGGAAAAGUGUUCUCUGUUGAGGUGCCGGCCUGGCCUCACAGUGCGGAGAUGGGUGGUUGUGCGCAUCCCUUGGACGCGCCGAUGCUUCUAGUGUGACCCGUUCGGCACGGAAGGAUGUGGGUCUACGCGUUCCCUUCAGUGGCAUAUCCGUAGCACUGAGGGGCAAGUUCCCAAACAUCCGGAAGUGCACUCUGGGCGGUUCAGCACGGUCGAAGCCGAGGCAAGGCCAAGGUUGAAGCAAUCAGUGUCGAGAUGGGUAGUUGUGGGCAUCCCUCGGACGUGCCGAGGCUUCUCGUGUGAACCGUUCUGCACGGAAGGAUGUGGCGCUAGGUGUUGCCUUAAUGGGCAUAGCCGUAGCACGAAGGGGCAAGUGUCCAAGCAUCCGGAAGUGCACUUUUGGCGGUUGAACAUGGUUGAGGCCAUGGCGCGGUAGUGGUUGAGGCCAUCAGCAUCGUCUCUGCAGUCGCCUCGUCCCUCGGAAAUGUGUGCUCUGUUGAGGUGCCGGCCUGGCCUCACAGUGCCGAGAUGGGUAGUUGUGGGCAUCCCUCGGACGUGCCGAGGCUUCUCGUGUGACCCGUUCUGCACGGAAGGAUGUGGCGCUAGGUGUUGCUCUAAUGGGCAUGGCCGUAGGCACGAAGGGGCAAGUUUCCAAGCAUCCGGAAGUGCACUUUUGGCGGUUGAACAUGGUUGAGGCCAUGGCGCGUUAGUGGUUGAGGCCAUCAGCAACGUGUCCCCUGUUGCCUGUCCCUCGGAAAAGUGUGCGCUGUUGAGGUGCCUGCCUGGCCUCACAGUGCCGAGAUGGGUUGUUGCGGAUACCUCGGAAUUGUCGUGUGUUCAUGUGUGGCCUGAUCUGCACGGAUGGUUUUGGUGCUCGGUGACCCUUCAUGGUAAUAUCUGCAGGCACGAAGGGUCAAGUUCCCAAGCAUCCGGAAGUGCACCCUGGGCGGUUCAACACGGUUGGAGCCAUGGGGCGGUCGUGGUCGAAGCAAUCAACAAUGUUUCUCCUGUCGCCUUGUCCCUCGGGAAAGUGUUCUGUUGAGGUGCCGGCCUGGCCUCACAGUGCAGAGUUGGUUUGUUGCGGGGAUCCCUCGGAAUUGUCGUGGCUUCUACUGUGGCCCGUUCUGCACGGAAGGUUGUGGUGCUCGGUGAACCCUUCAUGGGCGUAGCCGCAGCACCAUGGGUCAAGUUCCCAAUCAUCCGGAAGUGCACCCUGGGCUGUUCAACACGGUUGGAGCCAUGGGGCGGACGUGGUCGAAUCAAUCAGCAAUGUUUCUCCUGUCGCCUUGUCCCUCGGAAAAGUGUUCUGUCGAGGUGCCGGCCUGGCCUCACAGUGCAGGGUUGGUUUGUUGCGGGGAUCCCUCGGAAUUGUCGUUGCUUCUACCGAGGCCCGUUGUUCACGGAAGGUUGUGGUGCUCGGUGAACCCUUCUUGGGCGUAUCCGCAGCACCAUGCAUGGGUCAAGUUCCCAAGCAUCCGGAAGUGCACCCUGGGCUGUUCAACACGGUUGGAGCCAUGGGGCGGUCGUGGUCGAAUCAAUCAGCAAUGUUUCUCCUGUCGCCUUGUCCCUCGGGAAAGUGUUCUGUUGAGGUGCCGGCCUGGCCUCACAGUGCAGAGUUGGUUUGUUGCGGGGAUCCCUCGGAAUUGUCGUGCC